UACAGAGGCCCCAAGCGUUAGGCGGAAUCACUGGGCUUAAAGCGUGUGUAGGCGGACCGUUAAGUACCUUGUGAAAUCCCACGGCUCAACCGUGGAACGGCUGGGUAUACUGGCGGUCUUGGGCCACCUAGGGGCGAGCGGAACAAGCGGUGGAGCGGUGAAAUGCGUAGAUAUCGCUUGGAACGCCGACGGUGAAAACAGCUCGCUGGGGGUGUGCCGACGCUGAGACACGAAAGCCAGGGGAGCGAACGGG
rnacentral:rRNA from 1 species